rnacentral:rRNA from 1 species
UACGGGGGGGGCAAGCGUUGUUCGGAAUUACUGGGCGUAAAGGGCUCGUAGGCGGCCAACUAAGUCCGACGUGAAAUCCCCAGGCUUAACCUGGGAACUGCGUCGGAUACUGGAUGGCUUGAAUUCGGGAGAGGGAUGCAGAAUUCCAGGUGUAGCGGUGAAAUGCGUAGAUAUCUGGAGGAAUACCGGUGGCGAAGGCGGCAUCCUGGACCGACAUUGACGCUGAUGAGCGAAAGCAUGGGGAGCGAACGGG